CCUGGAGACUCCUACGGGAGGCAGCAGUGGGGAAUAUUGGACAAUGGGGGCAACCCUGAUCCAGCAAUUCUGUGUGCACGAAGAAGGUUUUCGGAUUGUAAAGUGCUUUCAGCAGGGAAGAAGAGAGUGACGGUACCUGCAGAAGAAGCGACGGCUAAAUACGUGCCAGCAGCCGCGGUAAUACGUAUGUCGCGAGCGUUAUCCGGAAUUAUUGGGCAUAAAGGGCAUCUAGGCGGCCUAACAAGUCAGGGGUGAAAACCUGCGGCUCAACCGCAGGCCUGCCUUUGAAACUGUGAGGCUGGAGUACCGGAGAGGUGGACGGAACUGCACGAGUAGAGGUGAAAUUCGUAGAUAUGUGCAGGAAUGCCGAUGAUGAAGAUAGUCCACUGGACGGAGACUGACGCUGAAGUGCGAAAGCCGGGGGAGCGAACAGGAUUAGAUACCCUUGUAGUCCU
rnacentral:rRNA from 1 species